rnacentral:lncRNA from 1 species
AGGAUAAUUAGAGCUGGUCUUUCCUUAGAGGACCAUAAAUCCAGGUGAGAAUACAAUAUUAAUGAUAAGAGAAGUUUUGUAGUUCAGUGUAGUUAUUUGUUCGCACACCUUGUUUUUUUUUUUUUGGUUGAAAUCGGGGCUAAACGCCCAGUUCGCACACCUUGUUGAUUCUAUGAUAAGCAGCUUUAUUGCAUUUUUCUGACGUAAAAUAGAUUUUGAAUGUGACAAAGGCAGAUAUAAUUGAGGGCAACGGUAUGGAUGGCAAUGAUUUUUUCUUUCCUUAUCAUUCACACC